rnacentral:piRNA from 1 species
ACUGUUACAGACUUCCUACUACCUCUAC